rnacentral:rRNA from 1 species
AGAGUUUGAUCCUGGCUCAGAAACGCAACGUCUGGCGGCGCUGGNACUUACGGCAUGCAAGCUCGUGGCGCAAUACCCGCANAGGGCCUGGCAACCGGCGUAAGGGGCAGCUCACAGGCAUGGGCUAACUUACCCUGGCGCAUUUGGCACUAGCCCGCUAGCAAAUACGGGGUAAUUCCAAGCGACGUGACUAGCGGGGCCUCCCGCAGUCACCAAAGGUCCGCCCGUCCUGGGCACGCAGGCCCAUGCUGCAUCACUCUAGCUAGCUCUGGUGGCNCGCUAACGGCCCACCAAGGCGACAGCACUGNCCUACGCGGCCUCGCUGCAGAGCACUGACCCCGCGCCANUCUGGCACUGANCAACCUGGCCAAACACCUACGCGCCUCGGCCUGCAGCNCANCAGCGAUCUUCCGGCAACUGACGCGCAAGCUUGACCGAGCGACGCCGCGUGCU